rnacentral:rRNA from 1 species
UCAGUUCGGAUUGUAGGCUGCAACCCGCCUACAUGAAGUCGGAAUUGCUAGUAAUCGUGGAUCAGCAUGCCACGGUGAAUACGUUCCCGGGCCUUGUACACACCGCCCGUCAAACCAUGAGAGUUGGCAACACCCGAAGCCUGUAGCUUAACCGCAAGGAUGGCGCAGUCGAAGGUGGGGUCGAUGAUUAGGGUUAAGUCGUAACAAGGUACC